rnacentral:lncRNA from 10 species
AAUGAAGUAUUAAAAAUCAGAUGAGUCCUUCCCAGAACGCUCAAUGCCUGAAUCAUUUCCUCUUUCUGAGGCGUCUAGAGAACAGCCAGGUGUAGCCAUGUGACUUUAUCUCAAGACUCUGUCAUUGCCUGCCAUCUUGCCUGUCUUAUCCAUAAACGCACAGGGCUCUCCGUGGGCAGGGGACUGGGUCUUAAUCGUUGUAUUCCCACGGUAGAGCGUGAUGCUUAGCACACAGGAGAUGCACAACAAAUACUUACCUAGUAAAUGAAUGGAUGGGUAAAAGAAAUGAUGGGUUUUAAAGAUUGGAUUAAUUUAUGACAUGAGAUACAAUGCAAUCUUGGG